AAGUGCAUGAGUUUUACUUAUUAGGAUCACACAAUCAACUAUAUUUUGAACUAGUGAAAUACUAACAAAUACUACAAUGCUUUCUCCCAGUAACAAUAUUCCUUCAUCAACUGAUAACAACAAUGUAAAACCAUGUACUCUCAAAAGAUUGUUCAAAACACAAUAAUUUCCAUCCAACACCAUGAAUAAUAGACUUCAUUGCAAUAAUUUGAAUUCACAUAAUUUCUAUAAUUACAAACUUUCUCUUUCGAAACACACAUAACUCUCAAUAAACAACAAUCAUAAUCUUCCAAUAACUCCUCAUAUAAUUCAAUCACUCAGUGCUUCAAUUACAUUAUCAAUAACUCAUAAAUCAAUCUCUAAGUUAUUCCAUAGACUCACUUUUCAGUAUUCAGAAACUAUCCAUUACUCUUCAACAACAAAGAAAAUAAAGAGACAAAGAGAUAGCAUCAAGCUUACCCCGGCUUAUGACUAUCACAGUUUGGCCUUCCAAAAAACUUCUACAAAUUUUAUAUAAUUGUUCUUGAUUUCCAGAUUCUAACUGUAACCCUAUAAUUAAUCACUUUUAAUAACUAAAUCAAUCAUUUGUCCUUCUAAACUGACUAUUCUACGGAUUAUUAGUUUAUUUUACCAAUAUCUUAUAAAAACGAACUAAUAUCUAUUCUAUAUAGUCCCACUCCUAUCUGUGCAACGUCCUCGCAAACACACAAUUUAUUCCUAUCUAAAAACUACUUAACAAAAUUCUACAAAGUUACUAUUUCUUUUGGCCCACUCAU
rnacentral:lncRNA from 1 species